rnacentral:misc_RNA from 1 species
GAUGAAGAACGCAGCGAAAUGCGAUACUUGGUGUGAAUUGCAGAAUCCCGUGAACCAUCGAGUCUUGAACGCAAGUUGCGCCCGAAGCCAUUAGGCCGAGGGCACGCCUGCCUGGGUGUCACACGUCGUUGCCCCCCCAUCUACUCCUUCGGGAUUGCGGGGGGCGGAUGAUGGCCUCCCGUGCGCCUCGUCGCGCGGUUGGCAUAAAUGCCAAGUCCUCGGCGACGCACGCCACGACAAUCGGUGGUUGCGAAACCUCGGUUGCCCGUCGUGUGCGGUCGUCGCGCAUCGAGGGCUCGAAAAAAUUGCCGGGCUCCGGCUCGGCUUUCAACGCGACCCCAGGUCAGGCGGGGUUACCCGCUGAAUUUAAGCAUAUCAAUAAGCGGAGGA